rnacentral:rRNA from 1 species
AUUGAACGCUGGCGGCAGGCCUAACACAUGCAAGUCGAACGAGUGGCGGACGGGAGAGUAAUGUCUGGGAAACUGCACGAUGGAGGGGGAUAACUACUGGAAAAGGUAGCGAAUACCGCAUACCAUCGGAUGUGCCCAGGUGGGAUUAGAUAGUAGGUGGGGGAACGGCUCACCUAGGCGACGAUCCCUAGCUGGUAUGAGAGGAUGAACAGCCACACUGGAACUUAGACACGGUCCAGACUCGUGCGGGAGGCAGCAGUGGGGAAUAUUGCACAAUGGGCGCAAGCCUGAUGCAGCCAUGCCGCGUGUAUGAAGAAGGCCUUCGGGUUGGAAAGUACUUUCAGCGAGGAGGCGUUACUCGCAGAAGAAGCACCGGCUAACUCCGUGCCAGCAGCCGCGGUAAUUC